GAGGAGAAAGUUCCUGUGCUUAUUCCUAAAAAGGAGAAGCCUCCGCCAGCAAAAGUUCCUGAAGUGCCCAAGAAACCUGUGCCAGAGGAGAAAGUACCAGUACCAGUUCCUAAAAAGGUGGAAGCUCCACCUGCCAAAGUGCCAGAGGUACCCAAGAAGCCUGUGCCUGAGAAGAAGGUGCCAGUUCCUGCUCCUAAGAAAGUGGAGGCUCCACCUGCAAAAGUGCCAGAGGUGCCCAAGAAGCUCAUCCCAGAAGAAAAGAAACCAACACCUGUUCCGAAAAAAGUGGAAGCACCACCACCCAAAGUGCCAAAGAAACGUGAACCAGUUCCAGUUCCUGUAGCUCUACCUCAGGAAGAGGAAGUUCUAUUUGAAGAAGAAAUUGUUCCUGAAGAGGAAGUUCUACCUGAGGAAGAGGAAGUUCUACCUGAGGAAGAGGAAGUUCUACCUGAAGAAGAGGAAGUUCUACCUGAAGAAGAGGAAAUUCCACCUGAGGAAGAGGAAGUUCCUCCCGAAGAAGAAUAUGUACCUGAGGAAGAAGAAUUUGUUGUUCCUGAAAAGAAGGUGCCUCUGGUGGUUCCCAAAAAGCCAGAAGCCCCACCUGCUAAAGUGCCUGAAGUUCCAAAAGAAGUUGUUCCAGAAAAGAAAGUAGCUGUUCCCAAAAAGCCAGAAGUCCCACCAGCAAAAGUGCCUGAGGUGCCCAAGAAACUUGUUCCAGUAAAGAAAGAACCUGUGCC
rnacentral:lncRNA from 1 species